GAAAGCGUGCUCGACCUGCAGGGAAUGGCUGAGGAUCGGUGCCGGCGGGGGAAGCACGGCUGGCCGGGACGGGAAGGUGCGCCCGGGAGGGAGGGCAAUGUUCACAGCGGCCGGGAACGGCGCUGCAGCUGAGCCGCCUUCUGGUGCACGGCGACCGUAAAUAAAGGGGCAGCGCCGGAGAGAGCUGGGGUGCCGCAGGGGUAGGGCAUGGAGGAGAGUGGUGGUGAUGUGCAUAUGGAAUGGAAAAAAAAAAAUAUUGAAAAAGAUAGAAUCACCAAGGAAGAAACACUGGGAGGGAAUUUCCCCAGCACAGUGGAAAUCCUCCCCAGCUCUCCAAGACCGGCUGCUGGAUACCGAACUCUGGGGCCCCAACAUAAGGGCGUGGAAAGAGCCAGUUUAUCUCUGCCUCUUACAUCCAAUACAGCUGAGUCUCUGAUGUGCAAGUGCACAAGAUAACUGUAAGCAGGACGUGAACUCUUCUGUCUCUGAUGACCCCUGUUGUCACCCCCGACCAUGAGGAUAUCUACAGAGGAAAUUCUCACUCUUUCCUGCUUGAGCUGUUCUGCUUUGUAUGGAAUCGACUGGGCCUGAGAUGACACCAAAGUACCUGUCUUCAUACUAAUCUGGGUUACAUACCUUUAAUUACUAAUACUUAUGUCACUCUUGUAUUAAGUACUUACAAGUGACUGCAUAUGCAUGUAUUUUAAUGGUCUUAAUGCACUUCUCUGGUUGCCUGGGAUAUGUUUUACUUAUGUUAAAUCAGGUAAGAAAUUACAACACACCCUGGCACUGAAGCAGUAUUUCUAAGGCCACUGAAAACAGGACCUGUGUGUUUGAAGACAAGUAAUUUGGAAUAGCAUGUUUAAACAAAACACAGGGAACUGGAGAGAGCAAACAAAUUCUUUAGGAAAAGUCCUAUAGAAUUCUAUCAGGUCACGUGGGAUAUUAGAGAAGUAUCUGUGAGCACCCAUUGUUUUGUGCAAAUUUGCACUGUGAGGUUGUGAUACUUAUGCUCAAAUAAAUAACAACUUAUUUUCUGUUUGGUCCUGCUUCUCUCUUACUUAGAGUUGAAUAGAUGGAAGUGGAUACUUUAAGUUCUGAGUAUUUUCAAGAUUACUCUUAGCUGUAAGUGAGUAAAUCUCUUUUCU